CAAGAGCCAACAUGUCUCAGAGAUUGUUUUUGCUUCUGCAUCCUAUCCGGGCAGAUAGAGUGACACUGAAGAAGGCAGUCUUGAAGAUGUAAUCCUCCGGGAUACAAGAUAGAGCAUUAUUCAAGAGAGUUCUGCAAGCAAAGAAUGAACGUAGCGUAUUGAGACUCUGCAGCAAGGAUCAGAGGCAUUAAACUUUCAUUGGCAAAGAGAGUUCUGCAAGCAAAGAAUAAAUGUGGAGCAUUCAAGAGAGCUCUGCAGCCAGGAUCAGAGAUAAAAACAUUGCAGAAGUAGCUAACUUGGUCAGCAAAGUAUAUUGAAGUUAAAUAUUG